UGCACCUAAAAGCGUUUUCUUGUCAGCCUGUUAAAUGCUCCUGAAAAUCGUAGAUGUGUGCUAAAGCAAUCGUCGCAAUAGCAUGUGAUUUUAGUUCUUUGACUCUAAUCCGUUUAGAUUGUGAACAGUA